CCGCUGAAGAGCCACUUCUCUGAUGUAGAGAGGAGAGAAAACGACUCCUUCCUCUGCAACAUCGGCCUGGUGGGAGAAAACAAGAUCAAGACAUCAGAAACAGCAUCAGAUGGAUGGAGAGAUCAGAUUAAGCUCAGUGUUUUACAGAGGCCAAGAUGCAGUCUAAAGUUUUUCAGCAAGACACAUUAGACAACCGAUACCGUCCAGAAACUGAAAGACGACAGGGUUUUUCACCUGCAUGGAGACUUUUCCAUUCACUGCGGUUUUGUAAACAGAUAGACAGUCUCUCUGCGGCAGACGGGACAGGCUGGAUGAACUUUUUCUGACCCAGAACCUCAGAAAGGUCCAACAUACAGCAGUUUUUCUGCUUUGGCAGGAGCUUUGGCUCACAUUCCUCCCUCUGGCCUUUACCUCCUCACUUGUUCAGCAUUUAAAGAUGCCUCCCAUUGAGACGGGCACAUUAUCCCGCUCCCGACUGAUCCUUGAGUUCAUUUAUUCAAGCUACUGGUGUGACAGCACGAUAACUUCAUCCAGACUUUCAAGCUGAGCUACAUCUCACACACAGAUGUGCCACACAGAAUGAUCUUCAUGUUCAGUCCCUGUGAGCCGAUGGAGAUUUGCGCUUAUGGCAAAGCUACACCUGCCAUUAAAGUUUACAGCAUUUCCAAUUAGUAGACAGUAAAAAAAUAUUAUCCAUACGUUAAAUAAAGAUUCCCACGCAACAAGGAUAAACAACAUUCAUGCGGUGAGUUAUUGGUUGCUGAGAACAUGAAACCAAAAUUCAAAAGACAUUUACUCUUAAGCAAUAAGCAAAAUUACAAGUCAUAUGACAAAAAUAUAUUUUAAAUAUAUGGUAAAUAUAUGUAGUAACCAGUGAAGCUCAAUGAAAUAUAUUUUUGAAAGAGAAAAUAAAUUUAAUUUCAACCCUAAUAUACCAAAAUGUAUUUCAGGGGCAAGAAAAUAAAUUUUCAAACUUACAGUAGCCUAUAUGCAAAUAUAGUUAAACGCAAAUGUGUAUGUAAUCGUCAGGAGAUAUAUAUAUGUAUAUGUGUAUAUUUUGUUCGUGCAUGUAGUUUAUAUUUAGAAAAUAUAUUUAAAAAAAUAUACAAAAUUAUUAUUAGUAGUAUUAGGCCAUUAUUAUUUUUUUUAAAAAUGCAAAUACACCAGUUUUCAAAAGUUUGGGAUCGGUAAGAUUUGUGAUGUUUUUUAAAGGAA